rnacentral:lncRNA from 1 species
UCCAAUUCAGCAAUCGCUUCAUCGAAAGCCUGAGAGUAGCAAUAACAAAAUAACAGGUAAGUAAAGUAUAAAUUUGAGAUCGAUGUUCUACAUUUGAUUAAUAGAAUUCAAAACGCAAAAUCAUCAUAAUCUUGUUAAAAAAUAUAUAAAAAUACAUAAUAAUCAGCCUAUAUAGUUCUAACCUGUUUUGCAAGAUUGCAGGCACGAUCAGGAGAGUUAAGAAUUUCAUAGUAAAAAACAGAGAAGUUGAGAGCAAGUCCAAGUCUAAUGGGAUGAGUUGGAGGAAGUUCCGCAUUUGCAAUAUCCUGUAAAAACAAUAAAAAAAAAAAAAAUAGAGGACCCAUUCAUUAGAACACAAACCAAACAAAAAUAUUUCAUAUAGUUUUACAAAUAUUUUUAAUUAAAAACAAAUAUUAAGAACAAUAGAGUAAAAAAGACAUGAAUAACAGUUCAAUAGAGUGAAUAAGUUAAAAUAAUAAUGAAUAUAAUAAUCAUGUAGAUUUGUAAACAAAACAGUAUUACUAUUAGGACAGUAGUAAGUGAGUGCGCAAAUGUAUAAAUCGAACAGAUCUGGAUCGCAAAAUGAAAAAAAUUAAAAAUAAAAAUAAAAAAAGGAAAAGGAAGAGUAAAAAACUGUUAACCUGAGCAGAUUUGUAAGCGGAGAGAGUGCUCUCUGCAGCCUCCUUACGCUCGGCUCCGGUCUUGAACUCGGCAAGGUACCUGUGGUAAUCUCCCUUCAUCUUG